GGGUGCCCUAUAUGGGAUAUAGGGUGCCCUAUAUGGGAUAUGGGGUGCCCUAUAUGGGAUAUAGGGUGCCCUAUAUGGGAUAUAGGUGCCCUAUAUGGGAUAUGGGGUGCCCUAUAUGGGAUAUGGGGUGCCCUAUAUGGGCGAUAUGGGUGCCCUAUAGGGGAUAUGGGGUGCCCUAUAUGGGAUAUAGGUGCCCGUAUUAUGGGAUUAGUGGGGUGCCCAUAUGGGUAAGGGUUGCCCUAUAUGGUAUGGGGUUGCCCUAUAUGGAUAUGGGGUGCCCUAUAUGGGAUAUAGGUGCCCUAUAUGGGAUAUGGGGUGCCCUAUAUGGGAUAUAGGGUGCCCUAUAUGGGAUAUAGGGUGCCCUAUAGGGGAUAUGGGGUGCCCUAUAUGGGAUAUGGGGUGCCCUAUAUGGGAUAUAGGGUUCCUAUAGGGGAUUAUAGGGUGCCCUUAUGGGCAUAUGGGGGUGGCCCUUAUGGGAUAUAGGGUCGCCCUUCAUGGGAUA
ensembl:lncRNA